UCCGAACUGAGACCGGCUUUUUGGGAUUCGCUCCACCUUACGGUAUCGCAGCCCUCUGUACCGGCCAUUGUAGCAUGCGUGAAGCCCAAGACAUAAGGGGCAUGAUGAUUUGACGUCAUCCCCACCUUCCUCCGAGUUGACCCCGGCAGUCUCCCAUGAGUCCCCGGCAUAACCCGCUGGCAACAUAGGACGAGGGUUGCGCUCGUUGCGGGACUUAACCCAACAUCUCACGACACGAGCUGACGACAACCAUGCACCACCUGUGUACGAGUGUCCAAAGAGAACCCCGUCUCGGGGGCUUUCUCGUACAUGUCAAGCCUUGGUAAGGUUCUUCGCGUUGCAUCGAAUUAAUCCGCAUGCUCCGCCGCUUGUGCGGGCCCCCGUCAAUUCCUUUGAGUUUUAGCCUUGCGGCCGUACUCCCCAGGCGGGGCACUUAAUGCGUUAGCUGCGGCACGGAACUCGUGGAAUGAGCCCCACACCUAGUGCCCAACGUUUACGGCAUGGACUACCAGGGUAUCUGAUCCUGUUCGCUCCCCAUGCUUUCGCUCCUCAGCGUCAGUUGCGGCCCAGAGACCUGCCUUCGCCAUCGGUGUUCCUCCUGAUAUCUGCGCAUUCCACCGCUACACCAGGAAUUCCAGUCUCCCCUACCGCACUCUAGUCUGCCCGUACCCGAUGCAAGCCCGAGGUUGAGCCUCGGGAUUUCACACCAGACGCGACAGACCGCCUACGAGCUCUUUACGCCCAAUAAUUCCGGACAACGCUUGCGCCCUACGUAUUACCGCGGCUGCUGGCACGUAGUUAGCCGGCGCUUCUUCUGCAGGUACCGUCACUUGCGCUUCUUCCCUGCUGAAAGAGGUUUACAACCCGAAGGCCGUCAUCCCUCACGCGGCGUCGCUGCAUCAGGCUUGCGCCCAUUGUGCAAUAUUCCCCACUGCUGCCUCCCGUAGGAGUCUGGGCCGUGUCUCAGUCCCAGUGUGGCCGGUCGCCCUCUCAGGCCGGCUACCCGUCGACGCCUUGGUAGGCCAUCACCCCACCAACAAGCUGAUAGGCCGCGAGCCCAUCCCCCACCGAAAAACUUUCCAACCCACACCAUGCGAUGCGAGCUCAUAUCCGGUAUUAGACCCCGUUUCCAAGGCUUAUCCCGAAGUGGAGGGCAGGUUGCUCACGUGUUACUCACCCGUUCGCCACUGAUCCACCCAGCAAGCUGGGCUUCAC
rnacentral:rRNA from 1 species